rnacentral:lncRNA from 1 species
UAAAUGAAAAUAAUGUUAAGGAAUUAUCCGAUCUUUCUUUAAUCUUGAAAACUUAAAAAUUUUUUUAAUCAAAAUUAUUCUCGAUAAUUUUAUCUGCAUUAAGUGUAUUAAAAAACUGAAAUAUAAUAUAUUUUAGCUUUUGAACAAAACUCUCUUUUUAUUUCAAUCGACAAAACAAUUAUGUGAUUUAUUUUUAAAUAGGAAAAAAAUAAAAUCUAUAAUUUAUUUCAAAAUUACUAUUACUAAUUAGGAAUGUGAAUUGAUAUAGAUACGGAAUUUUAUCUAAACUCGAUUUAAAAUGGGAUAAGUUUAAUCAAUGCUGAAUAGGGGAUAGUUUUAGUUAUAGAUACCAAAAAAUAAAAUCCCGUCGUAUGUAAAUUCAGUUAUAUAGUUUUGGUCUAUAUUUAAACCGAAUCUGAACUGAAACCCAAAACCAAAAACAAAACCAAAAUCAGAUAAAAACAUACUAUAUUUAAAAUACAAUUUUUAUAUAUUUUUUAUUAAUUAAUAUAUAUUGAUAAUUUAAUUUACUAUUUAUAUAUUAAAUACUCAAAUUUAGAUUUACAAAAAUUGUUUUGAAAUAUCUAUUAGUAUUUCUACUAUUCAAAAGAG